GUGAGGAAUAUUGCGCAAUGGAGGCAACUCUGACGCAGCCAUGCCGCGUGCAGGAAGAAGGCGCUACGCGUUGUAAACUGCUUUUAACCGGGAAGAAACCCCAGGACGUGUCCUGGGUUGACGGUACCGGAGGAAUAAGCACCGGCUAACUUCGUGCCAGCAGCCGCGGUAAUACGAAGGGUGCAAGCGUUAUCCGGAUUCCUUGGGUUUAAAGGGUGCGUAGGCGGAGCGUUAAGUCAGUGGUGAAAUCCUGCAGCUUAACUGUAGACUUGCCAUUGAUACUGGCGCUCUUGAGUGCGCUUGAAGUGGGCGGAAUGUGCCGUGUAGCGGUGAAAUGCUUAGAUAUGGCACAGAACACCAAUUGCGAAGGCAGCUCACUAAGGCGAUACUGACGCUGAGGCACGAAAGCGUGGGGAUCGAACAGGAUUAGAAGCCCCUGUAGUCC
rnacentral:rRNA from 1 species